GAUGAAGAACGUAGCGAAAUGCGAUACUUGGUGUGAAUUGCAGAAUCCCGUGAACCAUCGAGUCUUUGAACGCAAGUUGCGCCCGAAGCCAUUAGGCCGAGGGCACGCCUGCCUAGGUGUCACACGUCGUUGCCCCCCCAUCUACUCCUUCGGGAUUGCGGGGGGCGGAUGAUGGCCUCCCGUGCGCCUCGUCGCGCGGUUGGCAUAAAUGCCAAGUCCUCGGCGACGCACGCCACGACAAUCGGUGGUUGCGAAACCUCGGUUGCCCGUCGUGUGCGGUCGUCGCGCAUCGAGGGCUCGAAAAAAUUGCCGGGCUCCGGCUCGGCUUUCAACGCGACCCCAGGUCAGGCGGGGUUACCCGCUGAAUUUAAGCAUAUCAAUAAGCGGAGGA
rnacentral:misc_RNA from 1 species